rnacentral:tRNA from 1 species
GGGCGAUUAGCUCAGCCUUGGUUAGAGCGCCGCCCUUACAAGGCGGAGGUCACUGGUUCGACUCCAGUAUCGCCCACCC